rnacentral:sRNA from 1 species
GCUGGGUGUUAUGGCGGGCACCUGUAGUCCCAAAUACUUGGGAGGCUGAGGCAAGAGAAUUGCUUAAGCCUAAGAGUUGGAGGUUGCUGUGAGGUGUAAGGCAACCUAGUGAAACUCUGUCUCAAAAAAAAAAAAAAAAAAGAUAACAUUUAUUCUUUUUUUUUUGGUAGAGACAGAGUCUCACUUUAUCGUCUUCGGCAGAGUGCUGUGGCAUCACACAGCUCAUAGCAACCUCCAACUCCUGGGCUUAGGCGAUUCUCUUAC